GUGCUUGCAGGAUAAGAUGACAGCUAAGGAGAGUGCUACUUGGCUUGCUAUUAUCAAUCAAGAAGAGGCUUUGGCUCGUAAGCUGUAUCCUGACAGCUAUCCACAGGGAUCUCUAGCUGUUGGUAAUGGUUCCUUUUUCAUCAGCGAUGCUAGCGAUUACGAUGUGGAAGGAGUGGAUAACGAGAGAAACAAUGAAGUGGAAUGUAAACCCCAUGACAUCAAUCUCCAAACUGGAAUUAUGUUACCUAAAGAUAGGGUUUUGAUGCCAGGUUUAGCUCCAGUGAAAGGAGAAAUUAUUGAUUUAACUUCCGAUUUUAUCCAGAAGAGGAAGGAACCAUGUUUUGAGGAGUCUGUUGAUCAAAAGAUAUAUACUUGUGAGUACCUUCACUGCCCAUACAGCAAUUAUCAAGCUGGAUUCCUUGACAGGACUUCAAGAAACAACCACCAAAUGAGUUGUCCAUUCCGGUUCAAUUCUGCUCAAACACUUACUACACCUAAGUAUCAGAUCAACUAUGAGCACAACACAGUUUUUCCUGCACAAACUGCAACUUCUAAGCCAGCGGUCUCGUCAGUCACUGCUUCCUCUUCGAUGAGUGCCUCGGGGCUUGGACUCCCUGAAGAUGAUCAGAGGAUCAUUUCUGACCUCAUAACAUCAUACGACAACAACUUUCAGCAAAAUGGUAGCAUCUGUUCCGGAAUUUCUGAGAUUCUAGUAAACCAAAGCCUGCCUCAGCAACAAACAGUUGAACUUCCCAUGGAUGGCAACAUCAACCUAGGACAUAUGGAGACCUCAGCUCAAGAAACCAGCAUGCCUGUUUAUCGUUCAACAGAGUUUCAAUAUGAUCAAUGCAAAAUGUCCUUUGACGCCCCCUUCGGUGGAAACAUAAAUGAUAUAACUGAUUACAGAUUCGGUUCCCCGUUCAACUUGGGAGGAAGCGACUACGCCGUGGAACAGCUGACAAAGCAGGAUAUAUCUACAUGGUACCUCUGAACUAGUACUAGUAUUAAACUGUCUUAUUUCCUAUAUGAAGGCUUGAUAGGUUGUAUAUGUUUAGAUAAGUGAUCAACUCUCUGUCCUUUAUAUAUACAGGUAUUGUAGUUUCUUUGUGAUGUAGUUGAUGUUUCCAUGGUUGUAAGUGCUAAACACAAUAAUUA
rnacentral:misc_RNA from 1 species